GGCCGCCUGGCGAAAUGGCAUCGCGUCUGACUACGAUUUAAGCCGUUAUGGCUAGAUCUAACCAUCAGGAGAUUGCAGGUUCGACCCCUGCGGUGGUCA